UACGAAGGUCCCGAGCGUUGUUCGGAAUCACUGGGCGUAAAGGGAGCGUAGGCGGCGUGGUAAGUCAGAUGUGAAAUCCCGGGGCUCAACCCCGGAACUGCAUCCGAUACUGCCGUGCUAGAGUUUUGGAGAGGUAGCUGGAAUUCACGGUGUAGCAGUGAAAUGCGUGGAUAUCGUGAGGAACACUCGUGGCGAAAGCGAGCUACUGGACAACAACUGACGCUGAGGCUCGAAGGCCAGGGGAGCGAAA
rnacentral:rRNA from 1 species